CCUAAAAUAGCGGCUGAUCCCGGUGCAGCUGCUGCGGUCGGUCAGACCUUCUGGCUGUUUCUGCCUCCGAACCUCCGUCUGAUCCGAGCGGACCCGGAGGAGGAGCGACACGGAGGCGGACAUGGCGGUGCACAGCCCGGGACCACCACCGCUCCGCUCCCCCGGGGACCAACUUUCUCCGAUUCUGCGAUAAAAUGAAGUAAAAGUCGCGGAAAACCGAUGCUGCUGCGUUUCGGUGCGUAAAACUCUCCGAACUUUGCCGGCAGAUUUCCAAAAGAAGGACGGCUUUUCCAAGGAAAUUAAGCGGCUGUGUUCAGGUGAACAGCCCGCGGAUCCCCCGCCUCUGCUGGGAACACCGUGUUCACGGAGUUCCUCCAACUUCUCCACCAAGAAAAAACACAUGAAGGGGUUCAUUCAUCAGCUUCUGAUUAGAAAUUAGGAAGUGUGGAGGAUUCUUUACAGGAAGUGAUGAAAAAUCUUCUGGUACAACAGGUAACAAUCAGAGGUUUUUACAGUGAAUCUCAAACUAUUGUCAUUAAAGAAAUGAAUGGAUGAAUUAAUAAAUCACCGAAUAAUGAACCAGACUUGUAAAAAUUAAGAUAAAACUGGAAAUAAAUAAAAGUAUUUAAACUAAAAUCAAUAGUUUAUAUUAUUCAGUUAUUUCAGACUCAUUUUCAGCUCUUUAAAUUGAACCUGAAAUCUGAUUGGCUAACCCCCACAGGAAGUCCACUUCUGUAAAGUCAAAUUAAAUCUAUUUUCCUGUUUAUUUUUUGUUUUAUUUUCUCUGCACUUUAAUUGCCGCUCCGUCCUGCCGGUGGACAGACGCGGUGACGAGGGUGCGAACAGCAACCGGUGGCUCCUCCUCUCUGACUCGCUCACUUUUACCUGCCAGAUGUUUGGAGGUGAAACAAACUCCACCACACUGAAAAACUGAGCUACGUCUGAUUCUGAUCAAUUUAAAGUCUGAGGAAAAAAGAAACACAGCCUUUUGUUUAGUGGAUGUAUUUAAUCUCUUUGCUUUGUCUAACGUGAACUGAAAAGACUCUUAUCUGAACGCGGAACAUUUCAGUUUCAUGUUACAUGAAGCUGAAACGUACGGCAGCGUAUUAGAGCCGUUGUAGACAGAAAAAAAUUAAGAGGAGUAAAUUUGCUCCAAAAUAAAAAAACAGACAUUUUGAGAUUAAUCCUAUAAAUUUUCUAAGAAAUAGUAAGAUAUUUCUGAAUUGAAAAAGUCCAAAUUUCUUG